GACGAACGCUGGCGGCAGGCUUAACACAUGCAAGUCGAGCGCAUCCUUCGGGGUGAGCGGCGGACGGGUGAGUAACGCGUGGGAACGUGCCCUCUUCUACGGAAUAGCCCAGGGAAACUUGGAUUAAUGCCGUAUACGCCCGAAAGGGGAAAGAUUUAUCGGAGGAGGAUCGGCCCGCGUUGGAUUAGGUAGUUGGUGGGGUAAUGGCCUACCAAGCCGACGAUCCAUAGCUGGUUUGAGAGGAUGAUCAGCCACACUGGGACUGAGACACGGCCCAGACUCCUACGGGAGGCAGCAGUGGGGAAUCUUGGACAAUGGGGGAAACCCUGAUCCAGCCAUGCCGCGUGAUCGAUGAAGGCCUUAGGGUUGUAAAGAUCUUUCAGCUGGGAAGAUAAUGACGGUACCAGCAGAAGAAGCCCCGGCUAACUCCGUGCCAGCCGCCGCAGUAAAAC
rnacentral:rRNA from 1 species